UAGCCCCCGUGAUGUCUAGCAAUGGGCUCUGACCACCCCUUGAAGACUUGAUGCCCCCCCCCCCAGGACCUUUGACACCUGGGGAAAUGAGGGACCC